rnacentral:rRNA from 1 species
CAAUAGCGUAUUCAAAUGUUGUUGCAGUUAAAAGCUCGUAGUUGGAUAUCAGAACUCGUGGAAUUGGCCCGUCGCCUUUGUGUGAUUGAGUGCUAGUGAAGCGGUUCUUUCUUUUCCGAGAAGGUGCUCUCCCUUUAAUUAGUGGUGGAGUUUUCCAACUUGGAUCUGUUACCUUGAAUAAAUUAGAGUGUUCAAAGCAAGCUUACGCUGUGAAUAUUUUAGCAUGGAAUAACGACAUAGGACUUUGUUGUCUAUUUCGUUGGUUUCUAGACUCGAAGUAAUGAUUGAUAGGGACAGUUGGGGGUGCUGGUAUUAUAUGGCCAGAGGUGAAAUUCUUGGAUUUGUUAAAGACGGACUACUGCGAAAGCAUUUGCCAAGGAUGUUUUCAUUGAUCAAGAACGAAAGUUAGGGGAUCGAAGAUGAUCAGAU